CAGCCAAAGGUUGGUGAAGGUGAUCUCCACUGCGUUGGAGAACCCACUGAGUCCAGUCCAGGACAACACUGAGCAGCAGGAGGCUGAUCGUCAGAGCUGUGUGUCCAGUGUGGUCCACCAGGCUGACCAGGCCUGCAGACGCCUGGUCUCACAGGCCAUGCAGGAGGCCAGAGAACAUCAACUUCCCCCAGAGAGGAUGAGGUCUCUGGCAGCCGACUUCAAUGAAUCCAAAAGCACAUUUCUCCAGGACCUGCGGAGACAGGUUCUCCGCGGCCUUCCCUUAACCCAGGGAGAGGACGUGGAGGGGGUCGUGAACAGAGCCGUGGACGUCUUCAACAAAGAGAAACAGGAAAUCAUUGCAAGACACCUUCCUCCUUAUGACAGAAUAAAAUGACACAGAUAAUGAGGGAUGGAUGACAGCCAUUAUGUAACUUUCAUUGAUUCUAUGGAAAUAGUCAUACAUAUUAACGUUAGUGAUUACAUUUCUUUAUUUUUCUGACAAAAUGUCCAACCUGUUAGGUGCAUAUACAGGGUGGAACCUAGCAAGGUGGAACCUAACAGGGUGGAAAUGUGGAGGCUAACGUAGCCGUAGCACUGGGUGGAACCUAGCAAGGUGGAACCUAACAGGGUGGAACCUAACAGGGUGGAAAUGUGGAGGCUAACUUAGCCGUAGCACUGGGUGGAACCUAGCAAGGUGGAACCUAACAGGGUGGAAAUGUGGAGGCUAACUUAGCCGUAGCACUGGGUGGAACCUAGCAAGGUGGAACCUAACAGGGU